AACUCCGUGCCAGCAGCCGCGGUAAUACAGGAGGGUGCAAGCGUUAAUCGGAAUUACUGGGCGUAAAGCGCACGCAGGCGGUUUGUUAAGUCAGAUGUGAAAUCACCCGCGCUUAACGUGGGAACUGCAUNAUGAAACUGGCAAGCUAGAGUCUAGUAGAGGGGGGUAGAAUNACCAGGUGUAGCGGUGAAAUGCGUAGAGAUCUGGAGGAAUACCGGUGGCGAANGCGGCACCCUGGACAAAGACUGACGCUCAGGUGCGAAAGCGUGGGGAGCAAACAGGAUUAGAUACCCUGGUAGUCAACGCUGUAAACGAUGUCGACUUGGAGGUCGUGCCAUUGAGGCGUGGCUUCCGGGAGCUAACGCG
rnacentral:rRNA from 1 species